rnacentral:rRNA from 1 species
AUUGAACGCUGGCGGCAGGCCUAACACAUGCAAGUCGAACGGUAACAGGAAGCAGCUUGCUGCUUUGCUGACGAGUGGCGGACGGGUGAGUAAUGUCUGGGAAACUGCCCGAUGGAGGGGGAUAACUACUGGAAACGGUAGCUAAUACCGCAUAACGUCGCAAGACCAAAGAGGGGGACCUUAGGGCCUCUUGCCAUCGGAUGUGCCCAGAUGGGAUUAGCUAGUAGGUGGGGUAACGGCUUACCUAGGCGACGAUCCCUAGCUGGUCUGAGAGGAUGACCAGCCACACUGGAACUGAGACACGGUCCAGACUCCUACGGGAGGCAGCAGUGGGGAAUAUUGCACAAUGGGCGCAAGCCUGAUGCAGCCAUGCCGCGUGUAUGAAGAAGGCCUUCGGGUUGUAAAGUACUUUCAGCGGGGAGGAAGGGAGUAAAGUUAAUACCUUUGCUCAUUGACGUUACCCGCAGAAGAAGCACCGGCUAACUCCGUG